UUCCUCUCAAAAUGCUCAUAGAUAUUGGGACAUUGGAGACUGAUAAGGCAAAUACACCCCAGAGACUUCAUCUUGGAAAAAACUUAAAUGUUUCUCUGUGCCUUUGUGAUGUAGAUUUUCUACUCCCAUCUUCUCUAGGACCUGAGAACCAUUCUUUGAAAUACAAACGUUUCUCAUCAGUGAAAAAAAAGCCUUAGCCAUUCAAGCAGGUAAACUUAAUCCUUCCAACUGCCAAGUCAAGAUUUGGAUCCAACUAUUCUUUUAUAAACUAGUGAGUUUUGUAUUGUACCUGAUUCAUAGCAAAAAUUGGACAGAAGCUAUAAGGUCUCUGUUUGUGUCUGUCUGUGUCUUCACAUAUGUCUAUAUGUAUAUGUUGUAAAUGUGAGAGAUUUUUCUACCUCCAGAUGGUAUGGCCAAAACUAAGAGCUCUAUUUAAUUGUCUUAAAAGAGAUUCACGGAAAGGACUCGGACACUUACUCUAGAAUACAGGUUUCUGAUAACUUUAAGAUCAUAAAACUGAACUGGGUAAGAAAUUACAGAACUCUAAUGGAGAAAGUGAUGACAACGAAACUGCUAACAAGAUCAAGAUCAACAGUUGAUUACAUGGGACUAAAUGAACUAAUGAGGAUGAUUAUCAUUUUUAUGACUUUCUGUUUAAAAUAUUGCUGAUUUUUAAAAAUGUUUUCUGGGCCUGGCCCGGUGGCGCAAGUAGUUAAGUGUGUGCGCUCUGCUGCGGCGGCCUGGGGUGCGCCGGUUCGGAUCCCGGGCACGCACCAACACACCCCUUGUCAAGCCAUGCUAUGGCGGCGUCCCGUAUAAAGUAGAGGAAGAUGGGCAUGGAUGUUAGCCCAGGGCCAGUCUCCUCAGCAAAAAAAAAAAAGGAAGAGGAGGAUUGGCAGAUGUUAGCUCAGGGCCGAUCUUCCUCACAAAAAUAAAAUAAAACGUUUUCUUUUUCCAGAUUUAAGGAAACCCUUUUCUAUUUUCUCUUAGGCUAACUAUGACUUAUAAAAAUUUGGUAAAUUAUACUUUUGUAAGCAGAAUUAAAACAUUUCUCUUUUUCUCCCUACCUAAUCCUUCCAGAAUUUAGAAACUCUUAGUUUUCUUAUUUUCAUGGCUAUUUAGUUAAGUUCAAUGAGAAUCUGUUCUCCUCAUAACAGGACACAAUUGGAAACACUGGUUAUAUUACCAAGGCUUUGACUGGAAUACCAUAUUUGAGACAGACAUACAUAGACUCAGAUAUAACCAGAUAGAUUUAAGGAACAAAGACUAACUUUAUGAAAUAAAGCCACUUGAAAAUAUUGGCCUGGUACCUUACUUACAGGGUUCCCAGUAACCUUACCAGGUGAGUAAAGAAGGUCACUUCCUGGCAAAUGCAAAGAACCUCAGGAUAUUUUUGGGACUUCAAAAAGAGAGGAAUUCACCCAAAUCUAAGGUAUUGCAGGCAGAAUCUGAUGACAAGUCCUUGGUUUGGCUUGCCUGGCCUCAAGAGGUGUUUAAAGUUCAAUCAGAGAUUCCUUAUGAAAGUUCCAGCACAGCAGAUUUAAAAGGGCCUGUCUGACCAAUUGCUAUUCUUGCUGUACUUAAGUAAAUAAUUUGCCUAAGUUUGUUGAAACUAGACUUAUUUUACAAAUGAGUUAGCCUUAAUUUGGCUAUCGUUGGUAAAAAUGAGGGUGAUUUUAGAGAGAAAAAUUAUGUUUUGGUAGAAAACUAUAAGACAUAUUCUAGUUCUGUUAAUUGUCUUUGAGGUUUUUGUUUUCUACCUGUAAACUGGACUGAAUCCUGAAUUCUUCUAGUCUCCUGAAAUAUCUGGCUACAAAUCUCCAAACUAACAUUUUUAAUUUUUUUCAUCCUUUUCAUUUGGAAUCAGUGAGAACUAAAACCACUCUUUUUCCUGAUACCCUGCAAACUGAGGCUAAACAACUAGAUAUAAACUUGAGAGAGAUCACCAUGAUAGCCUAUGUUUAGAAAAUCUUCACAUCUGUUGCUGUGUAAGCCGCUUAAAAAGAUACCUGAACACCUAAUGACAUCAUCAGAGACAUUUCAAACUGCAAAAGAUGCUUCAACCCUGACAUCUAGAAAUCUUGCUGGCUGUCCCCUGUGCUCAGAAACUGGUUUAUAAUUUGCUCCCAACAUUAACCUUGUUUUUCUUUUUGUUUCCAUAGAAAUGCUUCUUACUAAAUACCUGAUUGCUUGCUUACACAAUAUAGGCCUAACCUUGGGAACCUAUCUGCAUCACUGCCUCCUGAAAUGAAUUUAACUGGACUGAUCUAUUAUCAGGACUAAGAGAUAUAUUCACUGAGAUGGAGCAAUCUACCAACUCGUCUUCUGGACUAUGAAACUGCUUGAAGUUUCAAAACUGAAACCUGGCUCUUCUAGAAGACACUGCUUCCCCAACAAGCCUCUCAUAUAAAUGCUGCCUUUUCUCAAAUACCACCCACUGAGAGAGUGCAGGUAACAGCAGUGAAGUAACUUGAAGGCAGUUAAACAGAAGGAGCUUUCAUCUGCGUCAGGAAACAUCUUGGAACACCCUGUGUUCAGAUAUGAAUGCUAUGAAAAUCUGACGACAUUCUCAGCAGUGUGAUGAUUUGAUGAUGGUUUUCUACCAUUUAGAAAUGACAGUUGUUAUGAAUUGAGUGUUUGUGUCCCCCCAAAAUUCAGAUGUUGAAAUCCUAACCCCUAAUGGUAUUAACAGAUUGGGCCUUUGGGAGGUAAUUAGGUCAUGAAGGUAGAGCCCUCAUGAAUGGGGUCAGUGCCCUUAUAAGGAAAUGAAGGGACCAGUGCUUUCUUUUUCUGCCAUGUGAGAAGACAAUGAGAAGUCAGUCAUCUGCGGCCUAGAAGAGGCCCUCACCAGAACUCAACUGUGCUGGCACCCUGGUCUCAGACUCCCAGGCUCUAGAACUCUGAGAAACAAAUUUCUGUUGUUUAAGCCACGUGGUCUAUGGUAUUUUUGUUAUAGAAGUCUGAAUGGACUAAGACAAUAGUUUUUGAAUUCCUGCACCAGGAAUGAAGCAAUUUUACCCCUGAGACUCAGUAACUCCCAUGCCUGACUGAACUUCCAUCCCACACCCAACCCCCAUCCUACACCCAACCCAUCCUACGCCCAACCCAAAUUACUACUCAGGUUAGUGCUUGGCCAUUGCUUGCCCUGACCUUACGGUAAAUAAACUUGUGUCUUUUUUCCUUCAUUUAAAAAUUUUUUUCGGGCCGGCCCCGAGAAAAGCCCCGGUGGCUUGGCAGUUAAGUGCGCGCAC